UACGGGGGGAGCAAGCGUUGUUCGGAUUUACUGGGCGUAAAGGGCGCGUAGGCGGUCAGCACAAGUCAGUUGUGAAAUCUCCGAGCUUAACUCGGAAAGGUCAACUGAUACUGUGCGGCUAGAGUGCGGAAGGGGCAACUGGAAUUCUUGGUGUAGCGGUGAAAUGCGUAGAUAUCAAGAGGAACACCUGCGGCGAAGGCGGGUUGCUGGGCCGACACUGACGCUGAGGCGCGAAAGCUAGGGGAGCGAACGGG
rnacentral:rRNA from 1 species